UACGGAGGGUGCAAGCGUUAAUCGGAAUUACUGGGCGUAAAGCGCGCGCAGGCGGUCUGUCAAGUCGGAUGUGAAAUCCCCGGGCUUAACCUGGGAACUGCAUUCGAAACUGGCAGGCUGGAGUCUUGUAGAAGGGGGUAGAAUUCCAGGUGUAGCGGUGAAAUGCGUAGAGAUCUGGAGGAAUACCGGUGGCGAAGGCGGCCCCCUGGACAAAGACUGACGCUCAGGUGCGAAAGCGUGGGGAGCAAACAGG
rnacentral:rRNA from 1 species